rnacentral:misc_RNA from 1 species
GAUGAAGAACGUAGCGAAAUGCGAUAAGUAAUGUGAAUUGCAGAAUUCAGUGAAUCAUCGAAUCUUUGAACGCACAUUGCGCCCCCUGGUAUUCCGGGGGGCAUGCCUGUCCGAGCGUCAUUUCAACCCUCAGGGCCCCUUCGGGGGACCUGGCGUUGGGGAUCGGCCCGCCCCCGUGCGGCGCCGUCCCCGAAAUAUAGUGGCGGUCUCGCUGCAGCCUCCCCUGCGUAGUAGCACACCUCGCACUGGAGAGCGGCGCGGCCACGCCGUGAAACCCCCAACUUCUGAAUGUUGACCUCGGAUCAGGUAGGAAUACCCGCUGAACUUAAGCAUAUCAAUAAGCGGAGGA